rnacentral:rRNA from 1 species
UACGUAGGGUGCGAGCGUUGUCCGGAAUUAUUGGGCGUAAAGAGCUCGUAGGCGGUGUGUCACGUCGGCCGUGAAAACCUGGGGCUUAACUCUGGGCGUGCGGUCGAUACGGGCAUCACUAGAGUUCGGCAGGGGAGACUGGAAUUCCUGGUGUAGCGGUGAAAUGCGCAGAUAUCAGGAGGAACACCGGUGGCGAAGGCGGGUCUCUGGGCCGUAACUGACGCUGAGGCACGAAAGCGUGGGUAGCAAACAGG